GUGGGGAAUUUUGGACAAUGGGCGCAAGCCUGAUCCAGCCAUUCCGCGUGCAGGAUGAAGGCCUUCGGGUUGUAAACUGCUUUUGUACGGAACGAAACGGUCCUGGCUAAUAUCCGGGGCUAAUGACGGUACCGUAAGAAUAAGCACCGGCUAACUACGUGCCAGCAGCCGCGGUAAUACGUAGGGUGCGAGCGUUAAUCGGAAUUACUGGGCGUAAAGCGUGCGCAGGCGGUGCUGUAAGACAGGCGUGAAAUCCCCGGGCUCAACCUGGGAAUUGCGCUUGUGACUGCAGUGCUGGAGUGCGGCAGAGGGGGAUGGAAUUCCGCGUGUAGCAGUGAAAUGCGUAGAUAUGCGGAGGAUCACCGAUGGCGAAGGCAAUCCCCUGGGCCUGCACUGACGCUCAUGCACGAAAGCGUGGGGAGCAAACAGGAUUAGAAACCCUAGUAGUCC
rnacentral:rRNA from 1 species